rnacentral:rRNA from 1 species
GACGAACGCUGGCGGCGUGCUUAACACAUGCAAGUCGAACGGAAAGGCCUUUUCGGAGGUACUCGAGUGGCGAACGGGUGAGUAACACGUGGGUGAUCUGCCCUGCACUCUGGGAUAAGCCUGGGAAACUGGGUCUAAUACCGGAUAGGACCGCACUUUAGUGUGUGUGGUGGAAAGUUUUUUCGGUGUAGGAUGAGCCCGCGGCCUAUCAGCUUGUUGGUGGGGUAAUGGCCUACCAAGGCGGCGACGGGUAGCCGGACUGAGAGGUUGGUCGGCCACAUUGGGACUGAGAGACGGCCCAGACUCCUGCGGGAGGCAGCAGUGGGGAAGACUGCACAAUGGGCGCAAGCCUGAUGCAGCGACGCCGCGUGGGGGAUGACGGCCUUCGGGUUGUAAACUCCUUUCGCCAGGGACGAAGCGUUUUGUGACGGUACCUGGAGAAGAAGCACCGGCUAACUACGUG